AGAGUUUGAUCAUGGCUCAGGACGAACGCUGGCGGCGUGCUUAACACAUGCAAGUCGAACGGUGAAGCCCUUCGGGGUGGAUCAGUGGCGAACGGGUGAGUAACACGUGGGCAAUCUGCCCUGCACUCUGGGACAAGCCCUGGAAACGGGGUCUAAUACCGGAUAUUACCUUCCUCUGCAUGGGGGUUGGUGGAAAGCUCCGGCGGUGCAGGAUGAGCCCGCGGCCUAUCAGCUUGUUGGUGGGGUAAUGGCCUACCAAGGCGACGACGGGUAGCCGGCCUGAGAGGGCGACCGGCCACACUGGGACUGAGACACGGCCCAGACUCCUACGGGAGGCAGCAGUGGGGAAUAUUGCACAAUGGGCGAAAGCCUGAUGCAGCGACGCCGCGUGAGGGAUGACGGCCUUCGGGUUGUAAACCUCUUUCAGCAGGGAAGAAGCGAAAGUGACGGUACCUGCAGAAGAAGCACCGGCUAACUACGUGCCAGCAGCCGCGGUA
rnacentral:rRNA from 1 species